ensembl:lncRNA
CGCCUCCAGAAAGAAUGUUAUGAAGUUGCCACAUACUCACAUGCUGGCAAACGGAGCAGACUUGAUCUCCAUCUGAGCCUAGUAACUGCCUUUCAUCCUCGUCAGCACAGCUCUGCUUCUGAAGUGACUUAUUUUAUCCUAACCGUGUGAUCCGAGGUUUGUGUCCCUUUUACCUGAGCAUCCAUGAUGCAGGUGAGAAGCAGGUGUGUUUUGGACAAUCUGGAUUGCACAAAGUGAUCUUUCUCAGUGACUGCUUUAAAUUGCCCCCCAACAACAACUAUUCCAGUGGGCCGAGUACAGGUGGGCCCACGCCGUGCCGGAUGCAUACCAGCUCCAGAGGCUUCUGAUCCAAGUUGGGGAUGUGUCUCUUCAGGCUCCUUCUCGGAGCUGACACUGGACUCAGUUCGGCUCUGGUUACUCUCAGGAACCAGGAGUCCUGUCGGCUCAGCAUUUUGGGAACAUAGCCACUUAUCCUCAUCCUCUUUAGUGGCAUUCUCCUAGACUUGCAGACUAUUAUCUAGAUUUCCAUUUCAACAAACUGCUUUAUUGACCAAGUCUGCCUUUCCCAUCAGGCUCUGUAAGGGCAGAGAUGUGUCAGCUUUGCUCUUGCUUUAUCUUCAGUACUUAGAAUAGAGCUUGGUCCAGUGAAGGCAUUCAAGUAUUUGUUAAAGAAUUACCUGUUACUUCAGACAAGACAAAGGUCGGGACAAAUAGCCAACUUCACAGGGCAGGCAAUAAACAUAGGGAACAUUACUUCAUGACUGUCCUUGAGGCAGUUAAAUGGACAAGGAUUUGUUUGGAUAGAUUUGGGGAUAAUGACUGACAUCAUAGAAUGCUGGUAAAGCCCCCAGAUAGAAAUUGGCUUUAGGGAAUUCCCUGGUGGUCCAGUGGUUAGGACUCAAGAGUUUCCACUGCCAGGAGCACGAGUUUGAUCCCUAGUUGGGGAACUAAGAUUCUGCAAACCGCACAGUGUGGCCCGGAAAAAAAAAAAAAAGAGAGAGACUUUAAGACUGCCCUAUUCUCUUCUGGAGUCAGAGGCUGAUGCUUCUGGAGGAAGCGAGUCACUGUCAAUCACAGCAGCAUUUCCCUGGUUUUUUAUUUUAAAUGUAUCUACUAUUGUUACCUGAACUGAAAUAUAUAAAAUAAUGCACAGGAC